rnacentral:lncRNA from 1 species
AACACUAAGUAAUACUGCAUUGAUGACUCCAUCAUUUUUUUAUCAUCUCUGCACCAGGUUGCAUGGUACAUAAGUGAUAAAUAAAAACAACUUUUGAUACUUCAAAUCAUUCGCGUCUAGCCGAAAUAAGUAGCAUAGACUGUACUUUAAAUCAUUUCAAAAAUCUUUGCAAAUCAGUUUUAUCAUCGCAACAGGUAACGAGGUGUCGAUGGCCCGAAGUCCACGCAUACACAAU